GUCUCACUCCUAAAAUGUAAAAUGCAAUCAGAGCUAAGUCCCUUUUUCCACCCUGCUGUCUGUGAUUGCUCUUUCUAAGAACAGAUUUUUUUCCUUACCUUUGUUGAUACACAGCUAGGAGAGAAAUGCUGUUGAAGUACCAAGGUGCUAGAUCUGCAUGUACCAACAAAAAUAUGAAGAGAGAUUUUCUAAAGAAAGAACUAAGUGCUCAAAAAGCUUUAAUCACAACAACACAGGGUGCAAUCUUCUGAUCACAGACUUUAUGCGGUAUUAAAAAAAUAACACUUACAUAAUGAUAUAUGGAAUGAACAUGACACGUAAAAAGAUAAAACGGAAGAAAAAAGAUUUAGGACAUCACUAGAUGAUUUUUAUCAUAUGAACAUCUUCUUAAUCAGUGCAUGUGUAGAUAAUGUGAAUAUAAUAUCAGCUACCUUAAACACCAGUGUGACAAGCCUGAUUCCAUCUAUUAUUUCUUCUUUUGUGUGGGAGGCUCACAGUGCUUUCAUAGUGUCUUCAUCACUCUCUUUUAAAACUAACCUCACCAGGAGCGCCAUCACUACACGCUGCCUUUAAACGUUUGCAGUUCUGCACAAAGUUUGGAUACUUCUCAACAUUGGUUAUCACUGUAACUAUAAAAAUGUGUUGCUGAUGAUAAUUACCAUUUGCUAUAAUGGUGUGUUUAUUUAGGAGAUUUUAGGAUUCCGCAGCUUCCAAAAACUGACACGUUGGAUCACUUUUAUUUAAUUUAUUUUAUUUUUUUUGUAUCAAAAUUAGCAGUAAUAAGACAAACUGUAUACUGUUUUUCAGUUCUCAAAUAUGGUCAAUAAACUUAAUAAUAUAGUAAUGUUAUAACAAUAACUGCCCAGUUGAAAAGAGAACAAGCUGCUGGGGGUACAAUCAAAAGAUGUCUGGGGUUCUGCAAAGAGUGAAUAUCAUACAUCAAACUUCUGAUUUCUGUAGCAAUCGCUAAUUUAUUCUUUUAUCAUUUCUAGUUCCUCCUUGAGUCACAGUCACCAGGCACAGCAAAGCUGCUGGAGUCCCUAAGUGGAGCAAAGCUAUUCAUGACACUUACUAACUGACUGUUAGAGAUCUGAAAGUGUGUUUUCUUCAAGCCAUAUGAAGGUUAUAUAAACACCCUGAACCUCAAAACUUUGAUUGCAUCUAGGUCUUCGGAUCACUCAGAUCCGUCUAUUUGUAUCUCAUUUCAAAGUGAGACAUUUCUAAAAACUAAGAUCAAGCCCCACAGCUCCCACUAUGCAAAGGGCCACAAUGAAAUGAGCAACCCUGGAAACUUUCAUCACCGUAAUCUCAACAAAUUCAGCAUGAUUCUGUUUAGCUAGAUCUUAACAAAGCCAGGUAAUACACAGGCAAAAUAACAUCAGCCCUGCGGCUUCAUUUACGGUAAUUGACAGGAUCCUCAUUAACUUUUUCAAUAACUCUUCGGGGACAAUUGUUUGUUUGCAUUUUCAUACAUUAAAGAUGGGGCGCACAUUAAAGCCUCAAGCUUGCUAAUAAUAGCUCUGGUUUUCAUUUAGUCUUUCAGCUUGCCAGCACAACAAAGACAUUUCUCACAGACUUAAUGUGGCAAGGAAUCGAGCAUGUGAUCCUCUUGAACAAUAAAUUUGCCCUCAACAAUAACAGCACUUUGAUUGGUUUGGGAGAAGAAAGCAGUGAAGUGUACACUCAUGGUCUGCUGUCACCGAAUAGUGAGGUCAGAUGAUUGUAAGUCAUGGCUUUAUAAGAUUAACUAAAUCAACAAGCUAUAAACUCAAUGAAGUGUGGAUUUCCCUGAAUGGAGAACUCAAUGAUCAUCUGUUUAUACAAAAAAAAGGUAUAAAAUGAAUAAAUAACUAAAAACUGAAGCAGCCAUUUGACAUCCAACUGCUACACUUUUAAGCUUUUUUUCAACUAAAAACCUUCCAUUUACAGUAAUUGAUGUUAACUGGUGCAUAAUGAAAACCAUGCUCUCCACACGGAACAGGAAGUUCAGUGGACUGAAUAUGUAGCUUGUAAAGUCAGCACACAUGCCCAGUCACAUGAAAUAUGAAUCAAGAAAGGAAACAUCUACAUGUGUUUUUCUGAAGAAAAAAGUCUACUUUGAUAGACUUGAGUCCUUGUGAAUAGCUAAUGAGAUGCGUGGGCUUUUGCUUCCACAGUUUCAGCCAUUAUUGUGCCCUAAUAUAUGAAAACAGUCUCUUCGAGGCAGGAGGAAGCUUCACACAUCCCAACAUGACUAUGUUCUAAAUAUUUUAGUAGGAUUUGCAGUGUUGCCAUGUAGCAGUUAAUGAUGGGCGAGGCUUUUCUUAACCGUUUCCAUGGUCUUCAAUGUUUUCUCUUCAGUUUUGGGACAGUCUCGCGGAAGAAAGACUUUGCUUAAACUUAAUGCAAACUCCCGCCAUGAAAACAGAAAUGAAAAAGAUAAAAACAGUCUCAAACAUUCUGGUAAGACGUUGGUGUCAAAGUUUAAUGAUGUAGACAUCAGAUCCUUUGUGUCUUGCCGUGACAAGAACAAUUAUUUACUCAUAUUUGAAUAUGGGCCGUAGCAGCACUAAAACACACCAACAAUAGAAAAUGCUUUCAAGCUCAAGGUGAGACCCAAUAUAUUGAUAAAUACUAAAAGCAUUGCCCUAAGGAGACUGAAUAAAACAGAAAGGACUCCUUUGCUGCUCAGUGAAAAUCUAUAAAGAAGCAGGUAGUUGUAGAAUGACAAUUUCUUUUUUUACUUUGGAUGCAAGUGAAAAAAAACUUUUCUGUUAUUGAAUCCUGUGAUUUAAACCACACACUGUAGGUUUAUCAGACUCCUAUCAAAUAGACAUAAUCGGUGUUGUGAACAUUUAUCUAAAUUAUGAAAAUAAUAGUUUCUAUCCUUAAACUGUAAGAAAAAGGGGAACACCUGCACACAAGGAACAUGCUGAAAGCAAAACUAAACUCUAUAAAUGAAUCCCUCUCUCUAUCGUCUCUAAAUAUGUUUCUUAUUGAUCACCCAUAAGUCUAUAUUUGCUCAGAAUUAAAGCGUUUGCAUCAGAAGCUGAACUGCUGGUAGAACACAAAUACCAAAAGAUCUGUUGUGCAAAGAAAAUCUAAAGCAUUUUCAGUUUUCUCCAAAUUAUGAUAAAAGAAAAAAAAAAACUUCACUGGUUGAAUAUACAAUAAUAUUUAAUUUUAUUUAAAGUCACUUUCCUCAACACUUAAAGACAAACUAAAAACAAUACAAUAAAAGCAAGCAAUGUAUACAGAACAAAGGAAGCUGAACAAUGCAAUAGAAAUAAUAUUAAAUAAUUAGAAAAUCAUUAUUAUUGAAUAGAAUAAGUCUUAAGUCUGAAUUUAAAGUGAGUGAAUUUUACAGAAAUCAGGGGGGAGUGUGUUCCAAAGAUGGGGAGCAGAGCAGCUGGAGGCCCUGCCCCCCAUGGUGCUGAGAUGGGCAGGAGGCACCAUGAAAUGGAUGGAAGACGACGACCUAAGGGAGCUGGAGUGUGUGGUGACAUGAAGGAGUUCUGAGAGGAAAAAGCGGUCCAGCAGCGCCUUUUGCCACCUAGAGUAUUUUUUCAUAUGCGAUUCAUAGACCUCAACCCAGAAAGCGGAACAAAAGCUGCAAACAGAAAAGUGACAUCAAAACCAACAGGACAACUUAUGGAAAACACUAGGACAGCAGUGAACCUGUGUGUCUCCAUUCUCCUCCAUUAUGCACCAGUGGAACUUUUAAAAUGCAACCCUUUGAUGAUUUCUGGAGAAGUUCAGGACUGAGAGCAACUCAGAACUCAUCCAUGUUGGUUUUGUUUGGCUGUUCACCAAGUCUUAAACUUGCCCAAAUGUUUAAGAUGUACUGUUGGCGUUCCAAUAAAGUUUUGAAAAAUAUGUAACUUCAGUAUUUGACAUUGCUGGAUCCCAUCCUUUCUUCAAAGGAAGAAAACGACAGACAUUUAGAAUUUUGACUGCAAGUUUUACA